CCCUUAGAUGUUCUGGGCCGCACGCGCGCUACACUGAUGCGUUCAACAAGUUUCCUUGGCCGAGAGGCCUGGGCAAUCUUCUUAAUAUGUAUCGUGAUAGGGAUAGAUUAUUGCAAUUAUUAAUCUUUAACGAGGAAUUCCUAGUAAACGCAGAUCAUCAAUCUGCAUUGAUUACGUCCCUGCCCUUUGUACACACCGCCCGUCGCACCUACCGAUUGGAUGUUCCGGUGAAGCCUCGGGAUGAGGACUGGUGCCUUUAUUGGCAUGAGUUGUUCAGAACUUGUCUAAACCUUAUCAUCUAGAGGAAGGUGAAGUCGUAACA
rnacentral:rRNA from 1 species